UCCGACUUAACGUCGGCAGUCUCUUUAGAGUGCCCAACUGAAUGCUGGCAACUAAAGACAAGGGUUGCGCUCGUUGCGGGACUUAACCCAACAUCUCACGACACGAGCUGACGACAGCCAUGCAGCACCUGUGUAGCGGCCCGAAGGCGAGCCUGUUUCCAGGACUCUUCCACUACAUUUCAAAUCUAGGUAAGGUUUUGCGCGUUGCAUCGAAUUGAACCACAUGAUCCACCGCUUGUGCGGGCCCCCGUCAAUUUCUUUGAGUUUUAAUCUUGCGACCGUACUCCCCAGGCGGAUUACUUAAUGCGUUAGCUUCGUCACUGAAGGGGUCAAUACCUCCAACAACAAGUAAUCAUCGUUUACGGCGUGGACUAC
rnacentral:misc_RNA from 1 species